GAUGAACGCUAGCGGCAGGCUUAAUACAUGCAAGUCGAGGGGCAGCAUGACUGUAGCAAUACAGUUGAUGGCGACCGGCAAACGGGUGCGGAACACGUACAGAACCUUCCUUCGAGCGGGGAAUAGCCCAGAGAAGUUUGGAUUAAUACCCCAUAGUACAACGGAGUGGCAUCACUUUGUUGUUAAAGAUUUAUCACUUGAAGAUGGCUGUGCGGCUGAUUAGGUAGUUGGCGGGGUAACGGCCCACCAAGCCUGCGAUCAGUAACUGGUGUGAGAGCACGACCAGUCACACGGGCACUGAGACACGGGCCCGACUCCUACGGGAGGCAGCAGUAAGGAAUAUUGGUCAAUGGACGAAAGUCUGAACCAGCCAUGCCGCGUGGAGGAUGAAGGUCCUCUGGGUUGUAAACUUCUUUUAUAUGGGACGAAAAAAGGGUUUCCUAACUCGUCUGACGGUACCAUAUGAAUAAGCACCGGCUAACUCCGUGCCAGCCGCCGCCGUAAGAC
rnacentral:rRNA from 1 species